rnacentral:tRNA from 2 species
GUUAGUGUGGCAGAGCCCGGUAAGUGCAUAAAAUUUAAGCUUUUAUAAUCAGAGGUUCAAAUCCUCUCUCUAACA